GGAGGAGUGGCCGAGCGGUUUAUGGCGGCGGUCUUGAAAACCGCUGGGCGCUGAAAGGCGUCCCGAAGGUUCGAAUCCUUCCUCCUCCG
rnacentral:tRNA from 1 species